rnacentral:lncRNA from 1 species
UAAUGUUGAUCACUCAGAUUGUCCUCCUCUCCUUCUACAAUUUUGUUGUUCGUGUACGCUACCCUAUCCCCUGGUCAAAAAGCAAUUACCGAUUAGUGCAAAGGGAUAACAUAGAGAGGGCAGAAAAAUGACUGGUGCAACUCCCAGCCACAUCUCUCCCAAAUUCAUCUCCAUCGCCGACCAAAUACGAGUGCAAAUUCGCUUGCUCCGUAGCCUCUCAACCAUGUCAGGUGUAAAUAUUGCCAAUUGUUUCAUAUAGAUUGAAUGGAUCAACUAACGAAAAGAUAAUGCUAUGAAAUAUAGGUUCCCCACGUCGUGGCUAUGUCCUCAGUUUUCUUUUACCCAUGCUGAUAGACCUUGUAAUCGUUUUCGCUUUAAUGUUCAAGCUCCUCCUAUACUCACUUCUCACAUUAUUUCUUCAAGUCAUUUGAACCUGUAGGAGUUGGCAUAUUCGCUCAAGCUAAACCUGAUACUGAGUUAUGUUACAUGAAAAUGCCAUUAAUUCUUCAUGAUUGUUUAAUGCACAGCUCUUAGCAGUCCACAAUCUUCUCUGGGAUGGUCAACAAGUUCAUGCAAUAGAAGGUUAGCUUGCAAAGUACCCAAAAACAACACAAUUCUAAGUCCAGCACCUUGGCGUACACAGCCAUAUAAGGUUUUUUAUUCCUUAAACCUUGCAUGUAAUAAGCAUGUAAUAUCUCAUGUCUAAGGAACGAAUGAGAUUUGCGACUUCCUAGAGAGGCCUCAAUUGGUUUAGAGUCAUACAUCAUUACAUUGAGGAGUGAAAUACCUAAUUUAUAUUCUUCAGAGAUUAUCUUAAGAGAAAAGAAUAUUGUGUAAAGGCAAUAUGCUCUUCAAUUCUCGAAUUGCCUACCAAAUGAGAAGAAUGCAAACACAAACAUGGCAACCAAUUUUUUUGUUGGAAAUUAUAUCUACAAGAUAAAAAUUACGACACAUCUACUUGUAAUGUACAAAUAGACAUAUUAGUCAUGUGCCCUAGUAAAGCAGGAAACAAACCCAUCCUUCGACUUUUGAGGUCCAGUACAAAUGCUUGUUACAAUGGUAGAAGUGACAACAAUACCAAUGGAAAUUAGAAGUAUAUAUACUGAAAAAAAUGAACUUUGAUUAUAUAGCAUGUUGUUUUUCAUGGUAUAGGGCUAGUGAUAAAAUUCACAAACUGUAGCAAAUAAAUAAAAACCAAAUUCGGGCUACAACACAGAACACCAAAUUUCAGUUGUUUCUUUUCUCGCCGUCAUUUUUUGCUUUGUACAUGGAAUCAUGAAAGUAACACAGGCAGGGACAAAAGAUCACACCAUGGCUAAGAUAGUUUAUCGUAUCUAUUAUUAAAUUCAGUUGCACUCUUCAUGAACUCUAAAUCCCUAUGGUUGUCCAAAAGUGGACACGGGUCUAAAGGUAGUACUUGGGGUUGGGGCAACAUCAUAUUCCUCCUCUGUCGUCUUUCCUAAACUCCUUUCUCUUGCCAAAAUUUGGACUGUAUCACUGCUUUCAAUUGUCUGAAACCAACAGAAUGUCUGCACAACAUUCCCAUAUGCCUGAAAAUAUUCUGGACGUGCACAACACAUAUUGACAGACAUGGAUUGACGGUUUUCAUGUCUUAUAAAAGCUUGACAGUCUUGACAUGUCAUUUGUUAUUGAAUACUAAGCAAGCGUUGAGCAAAGGUACCUUAAGUUUUGCUUACGGAAUGUUGCUCCUGACUAAUCGCUAUGCAUUACGGUGAGAAUAUUGUACACCUUGCUGAGGCUGAAAUUAUUUACUUUGAGAUUCUUGAUGAAAUUUUUUCAUAAGAACUGGAUUGAUCUCACUGUGUGAGUUCCACUGCCUCUUCUCUUCACAAAUUGCAGAUAGAGGGUGAUUUUGCUGGUUCCUGAAUAUGCUCACAUACCAACCUGCUUUGCAUGGAGGAGAUGCAUCCUCGCCUUCAUUCUGUUUUGCACGAAGAAGAAUUACCUUUGUCCCUCUUAACCUGCACACAAAAAACCAAAGAAUACAAUGACAAUCCUACUGUCUAGAAUAUAAAUACCAAACAAUUACAAAGCAUGAAAAUCUUUUAAGCGCAAGACCAUCAUGGAAUGGAUGGGGAAAUGAGAAUAAUAUAGCUGUACUACAAUUUCAAGCAAGACGCUAUGUAACUGACCUAGCACCAGCACACAAUUUUGUGCAUCAACUGGUAACGUUCAAGCCCUCAUCUCGGCUUUCCAUGAUGAAUUCUGAAAUCAUUCUCC